UACAGAGGUCUCAAGCGUUGUUCGGAUUCAUUGGGCGUAAAGGGUGCGUAGGCGGCGCGGUAAGUCGGGUGUGAAAUUCUCGGGAGCUUAACUCCGAAACUGCAUUCGGAUACUGCCGUGCUUGAGGACUGGAGAGGAGACUGGAAUUUACGGUGUAGCGGUGAAAUGCGUAGAUAUCGUAAGGAAGACCAGUGGCGAAGGCGGGUCGUCUGGACAGUUCCUGACGCUGAGGCACGGAAGGUCAGGGGAGCAAACGGG
rnacentral:rRNA from 1 species